UACGUAGGGUGCGAGCGUUGUCCGGAAUUACUGGGCGUAAAGAGCUCGUAGGUGGUUUGUCGCGUUGUCCGUGAAAACUCACAACUCAAUUGUGGGCGUGCGGGCGAUACGGGCAGACUGGAGUACUGCAGGGGAGACUGGAAUUCCUGGUGUAGCGGUGGAAUGCGCAGAUAUCAGGAGGAACACCCGUGGCGAAGGCGGUUCUCUGGGACGGUACUGACGCUGAGACGCGAAAGCGUGGGGAGCGAACAGG
rnacentral:rRNA from 1 species